AUGCUCACUACAGCAGUACAUAUACUAAAAUUGGAACAAUACAGAGAUUAGCAUGGCCCCUGUGCAAGGAUGGCACACAAACAUGCAGGUCCCCUACAUGUCU